rnacentral:tRNA from 1 species
GCCCCCGUAGCUCAGUGGAAGAGCGGCAGGUUUUUACCCUGCGCGUCGCAAGUUCGAUCCUUGCCGGGGGCA